UUUGCUAUGUGAACUUGGUGAUUAACUGUUUUAAAUCUUUAUUGCAAAGAGCAUGAUGUGUUAUAUAUAUGUUGAAAGUAUGAAAUGUUAAAGUCAAUUUAUAACUACGUUGAUUGAGUAAAACAUGUUGGUUGAGUAAGGAACUCAAUCUUUAUACUUGUUAUAUGAACUGUAGCAUGUAUGUUAUGUUCGUCCAAUAUUUAUGAGAUAUAUGUUGAGCAUGUUAUUAUUUGUUAUUUGAUGCAUGAAAACUGUUAGCUUUUGCUGGGCUGUCGAGCUCAACCUUGUAAAUAACCACUUUUACAGGUUAAAGAUUCAAAGUAAAGUUAUUAUUAUUUGGACCAUGUUUAGGGUUCCGAAUAAUGUAUGAUAUUUAAUAGAUGUUGAGUUAUAAAGUUUAAGUUUUGUUUGUUGUAUGAAAGGGUAUUGAACCUGAAUGUAAGUUUUAUUUAUUAACUCUGAUAAGGUGAGUAAUACGCUAAGUAUGGUUUAAAGGUAGGUAAAGAUAAAGGUUUUGAGAUAUGUACUUGAUAAGUUACAAUGAUUAUGUAAUGAUAAACUGUCAAGUUUGAGUUAUCUGAUAUGUAAAGGUUAUCGGAUUAAAAUGUAAAAUUCUAUAUAAUAACUUUGAUGAAACGAAUCAUAAAAUAACUUGAUUCAAAAACAUGUAGAUGAUAAAGGUAUUGAUUCAGGGAAUUAAAGUAAUAAGAUAGAAAAGUUUAAAUUAUUCCGCAUUUUAUUAAAUUUGGCAUCAAAUAAUGAUGUAAAAUCAGAAUUUAGACGUGUUAUUAACGACCGAAGUCGAUAAUUGAAUUGUAUGAAUUUUGGGGUCAUUACACCCCCUCUAAGGAAACUAUUGAAGCGACUAAUUGAUUUGUUUUGCAACUUUAUUUAUUUUAUCAACAAAGAUCACACCAUGUCUGGAAAAUUGCUUCUUACUUAAAUAACAGCAUACUCAUGAGUAAGUGCGAAUAUAUAACUUAGUUACUAAAUGAUUUGCCUGGAAAUGAGAGCCUUCUGAGAAAAUAGAGUUAGCAACAUAAUAAAAGAAAAUGUGUAACCACUAUACUAGUUUAUCAUGCACAAAAGAGGACGCCAACAAAACUAAUGGCGUUGCCAAACACAAGAAAUGAGGUAAAAUUUAUUCUUAGUAAAUAUAAAACUAAACAUCUAGUGGAAAAGGAUCAUUCAUGAAGUAACAAAAAUAGAAAUCUAUAUCAUUCCAAUGUGUAUAAUUUUGUCAAAUACUCCACGGCCAUGUGUCUUGCAUUGCAUGAAGGAUGGGAAUGUAAAGGAAAAGAGAACAAGAAAGGGAUAAGGAGCAAAAAAGCAAAAGAUGAGAAGGUCUAAUAAUUUUUCCCUUGGUUCAUGUUGGAAUAGAAAAUGGAGGUAACUCAAUAAUUUUUCUCAUCUUUUUCUUCUCUUUUAUUUUAGGACUUUUAGAAAUCAAAGAGGAAUGGUAAAGAAGUGGAGAAAGCAUAGCAACAAUGGUAUGGAAGAGAAAUUUUGUUAAACAAAUUGUUCUUAUUUUCUUGGUUAGCCAAAUAAAAAGAUCAGUAUAUUAAUUUUAAAAGAAAACCCCUUUACUUCCCCACCCUUCUCUCCUCCCAAGCACAACCUAAGGUCACACAAAACAAAACAUUCUUCUCAGUAUAGUAAGGUCUCAUCAGCCAAUAUUUCACACUAAUGACACGAAUAACACAUAUUUCAACCAAAUUGCAGGUUCUACAAAAAUCUAGAUGAAAAAUACAUUCAUGAGCCUACUAUAAUUCAUGCCUACUUUUCUAGUUUAGCUGAAAGUUUGAUAUAUUAUAUGAAAAGUACCUUCACAAUAUAUGAUUCUAUAUCCACUAUUUUUCAACCUUCAGACUCUUAGUAGAGCUUGAAAGAAAUAAUGAUCCUUGCAAGUGUUCUAAUGUAAAUGUCCUUUCAGCUGCUAGGGUCAACUUCAUCCAAGAUUACAUUUCAAAAUAUAUAUGUUAUAUACCAAUCUGCAUGGACUAUCAUUUAAUCAUGUCUAAUGUUCAAGGAGAGGAUUAACUAUUAGGAAAACAGUGCUCUUAUAAAAGGAAUUUCAAAUUCUGUCAUACACACUUACAACUCAUAAAUAUUCUUAAUUCAAGAGUUCAACAAUAAAAACAUGCCUGUUUUUGGCUCAUUUUUGUACAAUAUUGCAACCAUAGACCAAGGAAAUGUAUAUUCAUUUUAGUGGCUAAUGUACACACAAUUUUAUUUUAUUUUUUAUAAUAUGUAAUUUGGAACCAAGUAGGGGAAACCUUGAGGCAAACUCAUGCCCUACAUAUUACAAUGCUCAUUCUAAUGAUUGAAACAAUAAAUUCUUAAAACAUAUUGAACCCUUUCUUUUGGAUGUGAUAUACCAGUCCCUUUCAGUUAAAGCAAUCAAAUCUUUCAUUUUCUGAAUUCAAAUCAAAUAAACAUUUUAGCUAAGAUAUAAACAUAUAACAACCCAUACAAUUGUAACUUAAAAGUUAAAGUAGACACUUUUUCGCAGGAGGAGGGGGUCAUGAACUAAUGCAAAAGCCAUAGAAUCACUGAAUGAAAAUAAAUUGACAGACAAAAACUCUUAAAUAAUGUGUGCACUUACAAGAACACCCAAACCCCACGACUUGGCAGUAGCAAUAACAGUUUGGGAAAGACUGUUCAUUCCUCGGCCAUCCUCCCCAUCCCCCAAGGAAAUAAGCACUCAAAAGCCAUCCUUCCAAAGCCCAAACAUCCCAAAUUCACAAUUACUAAAACACUCUCCUAUUUAGCAUCACAAUAAAACAAAUUAAAUCAACUGAAAACAAAAAAGGAAUAAUACCCACAUACCAGAAGUAUCUUGGGACGAAAUCUAAAACUCCUCUACCUCCUUUUCACCGCCACUUUCUCCCUCCCCCUUCUCGUUCUCCUCCGUCCGUCACUCCAUCAAUUGGAGGGGAAUAGAAGGAAUUGAUUUUGAAUCAAUCACUAAACGCCUCUUUAAUUUUAGGUUUCUAAAGUCAAAUCCGCAAAUUUUUUAUCGACUGGACUUGGAAAAAACAUGUUAAAAGAUUACAACAUAGAUUAAGAUCCAAAAUUGCAAAAUAAAAAGUGCAUAAUCGUACAAUUUCAUCACUUAAAUUGACUAAUCAGAGCAAAUUAGACACAGAUCGUAACAUAACUUUUCACUUUCUCUCUGUAGAUUCUCUUUCUAGGUUGAAACGGCUGAAAGUGAGAAAGACUAUGAGGGAGAAGGUGGUGGAGAUAAAGAGAUUGUGACAGAGCAAUUACAUGGUAGGAGUAUCGAUUGGAAUAGCAGUGAGAGCAACUUCUAUUUUGGACGCCAUGGAAGGGUUGGCUUGAGUUGGGUUGGGUUGGAGACAAAAGUAUAUUAGGAGAAAGAACGGGGAAAGGUUGGAUUUGGAGUAUUUUUUCAGAAUUGCC
rnacentral:lncRNA from 1 species